rnacentral:rRNA from 1 species
GGCAGCAGUGGGGAAUAUUGGACAAUGGGCGCAAGCCUGAUCCAGCAAUGCCGCGUGUGUGAAGAAGGCCUUCGGGUUGUAAAGCACUUUCAGUAGAGAAGAAAGGCUCAAGAUUAAUACUCUUGAGAGUUGACGUUAUCUAAAGAAGAAGCACCGGCUAACUCUGUGCCAGCAGCCGCGGUAAUACAGAGGGUGCAAGCGUUAAUCGGAAUUACUGGGCGUAAAGCGCGCGUAGGUGGGUGUUUAAGUCGGAUGUGAAAGCCCCAGGCUCAACCUGGGAACUGCAUUCGAUACUGAAUACCUAGAGUAUGGUAGAGGAAAGUGGAAUUCCCGGUGUAGCGGUGAAAUGCGUAGAUAUCGGGAGGAACAUCAGUGGCGAAGGCGACUUUCUGGACUAAUACUGACACUGAGGUGCGAAAGCGUGGGUAGCAAACAGGAUUAGAGACCCUGGUAGUCCACGCCGUAAACGAUGAGAACUAGAUGUUGGGAAGUUUACUUCUUAGUAUCGUAGCUAACGCGUUAAGUUCUCCGUCUGGGGAGUACGGCCGCAAGGCUAAAACUCAAAGGAAUUGACGG